CGUCAGUGCUUGCCACACACCAGCGGAUCUAGCUAUCAACGGCCACCCUCAGCUUUUCACGGCUUCUUGGCGUGGUCGUCGACGGCAGCUGCAGCGGGGGAGCCCGGCAUGCCGCCGAAGCCGCCGAGGCCGGGGGAGCCGCCGAGACCAGGGGAGCUGCCGCCGAGGAAGGGCAUGCUGCCGAUGCCGCCGAAGCUCGGGGUGGCGCCGCCGCUGCCGGGGAGGCUGAAUCCGGGCAUGCCGCUGCUGCCGGGGAGGCCGCCGCCCAACGCCGGCGACCCGCCGCCUAAGCGGUCG
rnacentral:lncRNA from 1 species